rnacentral:rRNA from 1 species
UACGAAGGUGGCAAGCGUUGUUCGGAUUUACUGGGCGUACAGGGAGCGUAGGCGGUUUGGUAAGCCCUCUGUGAAAUCUCCAGGCUUAACCUGGAACAGUCGGAGGGGACUGCUGGGCUAGAGGACGGGAGAGGAGCGCGGAAUUCCCGGUGUAGCGGUGAAAUGCGUAGAGAUCGGGAGGAAGGCCGGUGGCGAAGGCGGCGCUCUGGAACGUUUCUGACGCUGAGGCUCGAAAGCGUGGGGAGCAAACAGG